rnacentral:rRNA from 1 species
AGCGUACACGGUGGAUGCCCUGGCAGUCAGAGGCGAUGAAGGACGUGCUAAUCUGCGAUAAGCGUCGGUAAGGUGAUAUGAACCGUUAUAACCGGCGAUUUCCGAAUGGGGAAACCCAGUGUGAUUCGUCACACUAUCAUUAACUGAAUCCAUAGGUUAAUGAGGCGAACCGGGGGAACUGAAACAUCUAAGUACCCCGAGGAAAAGAAAUCAACCGAGAUUCCCCCAGUAGCGGCGAGCGAACGGGGAGCAGCCCAGAGCCUGAAUCAGUGUGUGUGUUAGUGGAAGCGUCUGGAAAGGCGCGCGAUACAGGGUGACAGCCCCGUACACAAAAAUGCACAUGCUGUGAGCUCGAUGAGUAGGGCGGGACACGUGGUAUCCUGUCUGAAUAUGGGGGGACCAUCCUCCAAGGCUAAAUACUCCUGACUGACCGAUAGUGAACCAGUACCGUGAGGGAAAGGCGAAAAGAACCCCGGCGAGGGGAGUGAAAAAGAACCUGAAACCGUGUACGUACAAGCAGUGGGAGCACGCUUAGGCGUGUGACUGCGUACCUUUUGUAUAAUGGGUCAGCGACUUAUAUUCUGUAGCAAGGUUAACCGAAUAGGGGAGCCGAAGGGAAACCGAGUCUUAACUGGGCGUUAAGUUGCAGGGUAUAGACCCGAAACCCGGUGAUCUAGCCAUGGGCAGGUUGAAGGUUGGGUAACACUAACUGGAGGACCGAACCGACUAAUGUUGAAAAAUUAGCGGAUGACUUGUGGCUGGGGGUGAAAGGCCAAUCAAACCGGGAGAUAGCUGGUUCUCCCCGAAAGCUAUUUAGGUAGCGCCUCGUGAAUUCAUCUCCGGGGGUAGAGCACUGUUUCGGCAAGGGGGUCAUCCCGACUUACCAACCCGAUGCAAACUGCGAAUACCGGAGAAUGUUAUCACGGGAGACACACGGCGGGUGCUAACGUCCGUCGUGAAGAGGGAAACAACCCAGACCGCCAGCUAAGGUCCCAAAGUCAUGGUUAAGUGGGAAACGAUGUGGGAAGGCCCAGACAGCCAGGAUGUUGGCUUAGAAGCAGCCAUCAUUUAAAGAAAGCGUAAUAGCUCACUGGUCGAGUCGGCCUGCGCGGAAGAUGUAACGGGGCUAAACCAUGCACCGAAGCUGCGGCAGCGACGCUUAUGCGUUGUUGGGUAGGGGAGCGUUCUGUAAGCCUGCGAAGGUGUGCUGUGAGGCAUGCUGGAGGUAUCAGAAGUGCGAAUGCUGACAUAAGUAACGAUAAAGCGGGUGAAAAGCCCGCUCGCCGGAAGACCAAGGGUUCCUGUCCAACGUUAAUCGGGGCAGGGUGAGUCGACCCCUAAGGCGAGGCCGAAAGGCGUAGUCGAUGGGAAACAGGUUAAUAUUCCUGUACUUGGUGUUACUGCGAAGGGGGGACGGAGAAGGCUAUGUUGGCCGGGCGACGGUUGUCCCGGUUUAAGCGUGUAGGCUGGUUUUCCAGGCAAAUCCGGAAAAUCAAGGCUGAGGCGUGAUGACGAGGCACUACGGUGCUGAAGCAACAAAUGCCCUGCUUCCAGGAAAAGCCUCUAAGCAUCAGGUAACAUCAAAUCGUACCCCAAACCGACACAGGUGGUCAGGUAGAGAAUACCAAGGCGCUUGAGAGAACUCGGGUGAAGGAACUAGGCAAAAUGGUGCCGUAACUUCGGGAGAAGGCACGCUGAUAUGUAGGUGAAGUCCCUCGCGGAUGGAGCUGAAAUCAGUCGAAGAUACCAGCUGGCUGCAACUGUUUAUUAAAAACACAGCACUGUGCAAACACGAAAGUGGACGUAUACGGUGUGACGCCUGCCCGGUGCCGGAAGGUUAAUUGAUGGGGUUAGCCGCAAGGCGAAGCUCUUGAUCGAAGCCCCGGUAAACGGCGGCCGUAACUAUAACGGUCCUAAGGUAGCGAAAUUCCUUGUCGGGUAAGUUCCGACCUGCACGAAUGGCGUAAUGAUGGCCAGGCUGUCUCCACCCGAGACUCAGUGAAAUUGAACUCGCUGUGAAGAUGCAGUGUACCCGCGGCAAGACGGAAAGACCCCGUGAACCUUUACUAUAGCUUGACACUGAACAUUGAGCCUUGAUGUGUAGGAUAGGUGGGAGGCUUUGAAGUGUGGACGCCAGUCUGCAUGGAGCCGACCUUGAAAUACCACCCUUUAAUGUUUGAUGUUCUAACGUUGACCCGUAAUCCGGGUUGCGGACAGUGUCUGGUGGGUAGUUUGACUGGGGCGGUCUCCUCCUAAAGAGUAACGGAGGAGCACGAAGGUUGGCUAAUCCUGGUCGGACAUCAGGAGGUUAGUGCAAUGGCAUAAGCCAGCUUGACUGCGAGCGUGACGGCGCGAGCAGGUGCGAAAGCAGGUCAUAGUGAUCCGGUGGUUCUGAAUGGAAGGGCCAUCGCUCAACGGAUAAAAGGUACUCCGGGGAUAACAGGCUGAUACCGCCCAAGAGUUCAUAUCGACGGCGGUGUUUGGCACCUCGAUGUCGGCUCAUCACAUCCUGGGGCUGAAGUAGGUCCCAAGGGUAUGGCUGUUCGCCAUUUAAAGUGGUACGCGAGCUGGGUUUAGAACGUCGUGAGACAGUUCGGUCCCUAUCUGCCGUGGGCGCUGGAGAACUGAGGGGGGCUGCUCCUAGUACGAGAGGACCGGAGUGGACGCAUCACUGGUGUUCGGGUUGUCAUGCCAAUGGCACUGCCCGGUAGCUAAAUGCGGAAGAGAUAAGUGCUGAAAGCAUCUAAGCACGAAACUUGCCCCGAGAUGAGUUCUCCCUGACUCCUUGA